rnacentral:ncRNA from 1 species
UAAAAGACGAUGACGGGAACAAGACAUCUGAAACGGUCUUCAGAGAACCGGCGUUUGGUGCAAGCCGGUGUCCGCGCCGAUGUGCAUAGCUCAUCCCCGAGUCGCCCGUUCGAAGGUCCUCCUAGAACGGGACGCCUGGACAGCGUUACGGGUCCGGACCUUGAUGGAGGUCGGCGAGGGCCGUUCGGGUAACCGGCGGUCAAAGUAGGGUGGUACCGCGUGAAUGCUCACGCCCCUGAC